CUGGCUCAGGAUGAACGCUAGCGGCAGGCCUUAACCACAUGCAAGUCGAGGGGUAACGUGAGUGCUUGCACUUGACGACGACCGGCGCACGGGUGCGUAACGCGUAUAGAACCUACCUUAUAGUAAGGGAUAGCCCAGAGAAAUUUGGAUUAAUACCUUAUAGUAUGAUAAGAUGGCAUCAUUUAAUCAUUAAAGAUUUAUUGCUAUAAGAUGGCUAUGCGUUCUAUUAGCUAGUUGGUAUGGUAACGGCAUACCAAGGCAACGAUAGAUAGGGGUCCUGAGAGGGAGAUCCCCCACACUGGUACUGAGACACGGACCAGACUCCUACGGGAGGCAGCAGUGAGGAAUAUUGGACAAUGGAGGCAACUCUGAUCCAGCCAUGCCGCGUGUAGGAAGACUGCCCUAUGGGUUGUAAACUACUUUUAUAGAGGAAGAAACGGUUCCACGUGUGGAACUCUGACGGUACUCUACGAAUAAGGAUCGGCUAACUCCGUGCCAGCAGCCGCGGUAAUACGGAGGAUCCAAGCGUUAUCCGGAAUCAUUGGGUUUAAAGGGUCCGUAGGCGGGUCUGUAAGUCAGUGGUGAAAGUUUUCGGCUCAACCGGAAAAUUGCCAUUGAUACUGCAGGUCUUGAAUCAUUAUGAAGUGGUUAGAAUAAGUAGUGUAGCGGUGAAAUGCAUAGAUAUUACUUAGAAUACCGAUUGCGAAGGCAGAUCACUAAUAAUGUAUUGACGCUAAGGGACGAAAGCGUGGGUAGCGAACAGGAUUAGAUACCCUGGUAGUCCACGCCGUAAACGAUGGUUACUAGCUGUUCGGACUUCGGUCUGAGUGGCUAAGCGAAAGUGAUAAGU
rnacentral:rRNA from 1 species